rnacentral:tRNA from 1 species
GGCGCGGUAGACGAAUCGGGAAAGUCACCUGGUUUUCACCCAGGGCACAUGCGGGUUCGAAUCCCGUCCGCGCUAC